CCUACGGGAGGCAGCAGUGGGGAAUAUUGGACAAUGGGCGCAAGCCUGAUCCAGCCAUGCCGCGUGGGUGAAGAAGGCCUUCGGGUUGUAAAGCCCUUUUGUCCGGAAAGAAAAGCUUCGGGCUAAUACCCCGGGGUCCUGACGGUACCGGAAGAAUAAGCACCGGCUAACUUCGUGCCAGCAGCCGCGGUAAUACGAAGGGUGCAAGCGUUACUCGGAAUUACUGGGCGUAAAGCGUGCGUAGGUGGUUUGUUAAGUCUGAUGUGAAAGCCCUGGGCUCAACCUGGGAAUUGCAUUGGAUACUGGCAGGCUAGAGUGCGGUAGAGGAUGGCGGAAUUCCCGGUGUAGCAGUGAAAUGCGUAGAGAUCGGGAGGAACAUCUGUGGCGAAGGCGGCCAUCUGGACCAGCACUGACACUGAGGCACGAAAGCGUGGGGAGCAAACAGGAUUAGAUACCCUGGUAGUCCACGCCCUAAACGAUGCGAACUGGAUGUUGGGAGCAACUAGGCUCUCAGUAUCGAAGCUAACGCGUUAAGUUCGCCGCCUGGGGAGUACGGUCGCAAGCUGAAACUCAAAGGAUUGACGGCNGAGAGNGCGACGACGACGACGAGGGAGGAGG
rnacentral:rRNA from 1 species